rnacentral:rRNA from 1 species
GGAGUCUGGGCCGUGUCUCAGUCCCAAUGUGGCCGUUCACCCUCUCAGGCCGGCUAUGGAUCGUCGCUUUGGUGGGCCGUUACCCCGCCAACUGGCUAAUCCAACGCGGAGCCAUCCUGUACCACCGGAGUUUUUCACACAGGGCCAUGCGGCUCCGUGCGCUUAUGCGGUAUUAGCAGUGAUUUCUCACUGUUAUCCCCCCAGUACAGGGCAGGUUUCCCACGCGUUACUCACCCGUCCGCCACUAAGUGAUUCAAAUGAGUCAAUCAGGUGCAAGCACCAUCAAUCCUCGGGAGAACCACUCCGUUCGACUUGCAUGUGUUAAGCACGCCGCCAGCGUUUAUC